GAUGAACGCUGGCGGCGUGCCUAAUACAUGCAAGUCGAGCGAACAGAUGAGGAGCUUGCUCCUCUGACGUUAGCGGCGGACGGGUGAGUAACACGUGGAUAACCUACCUAUAAGACUGGGAUAACUUCGGGAAACCGGAGCUAAUACCGGAUAAUAUAUUGAACCGCAUGGUUCAAUAGUGUAAGACGGUUUUGCUGUCACUUAUAGAUGGAUCCGCGCCGCAUUAGCUAGUUGGUAAGGUAACGGCUUACCAAGGCGACGAUGCGUAGCCGACCUGAGAGGGUGAUCGGCCACACUGGAACUGAGACACGGUCCAGACUCCUACGGGAGGCAGCAGUAGGGAAUCUUCCGCAAUGGGCGAAAGCCUGACGGAGCAACGCCGCGUGAGUGAUGAAGGUCUUCGGAUCGUAAAACUCUGUUAUUAGGGAAGAACAAAUGUGUAAGUAACUAUGCACGUCUUGACGGUACCUAAUCAGAAAGCCACGGCUAACUACGUG
rnacentral:rRNA from 1 species